AAGAGGAGAAGGAGAAGGCUGAGUGUCGAGACGAGAGGAGAUGGAUUGAAAAGCAGAAUCGAGCGUCCAGAGCUCAGAGGAAGAAGGAGGAGAUGAACAGAAUACGAACACUAGUUGAUACGGCCUACAGCUGUGACCCUAGAAUAAAGAAAUUCAAAGAAGAAGAAAAGGCCAGGAAGGAGUCUGAGAAAAAGGCCAAAGCUGAAGCCAAGAAGAGAGAGCAGGAGGAGAA